rnacentral:rRNA from 1 species
UACAGAGGGGGCAAGCGUUGUUCGGAAUUACUGGGCGUAAAGGGCGCGUAGGCGGCCUGCUAAGUCGAACGUGAAAUCCCCGGGCUCAACCCGGGAACUGCGUCCGAUACUGGCAGGCUUGAAUUCGGGAGAGGGAUGCGGAAUUCCAGGUGUAGCGGUGAAAUGCGUAGAGAUGCGGAGGAACACCGAUGGCGAAGGCGGCAUCCUGGACCAACACUGACACUGAUGAGCGAAAGCCAGGGGAGCAAACGGG